UGAGCGGGUUCACCACGCUCCGCGACCUCGGCACGGAGGGUGCCGGGUACGCCGAUGUCGGCAUCAAGUCGGCGAUUAACAAGGGCGUUAUCCCCGGCCCGCGGUUGCUCGUCACGACGAAGGCGAUUGUCGCGACGGGAACCUACGCGCCGCGCGACUUCGCGCCGGAGUGGCGCAUCCCCCAAGGCGCCGACGAGGCGGACGGCGCCAACCUACGGACCGUUGUGCGGGAGCAGAUUCGCGGCGGCGCCGACUGGAUCAAGGUGUACGCGGACGUGCCGUAUGGCCCUGGUCGCGGUUCGAAGCUCGCGUUCACGCUGGAGGAACUGAAACUGAUCGUCGAGACGGCCAAGGACGCUGGAGUGCCAGUGGUCGCCCACGCAAACACGAAGGAGGGGAUGCGGCGCUCGACCCUGGUCGGUGUGGAGACGAUCGAGCACGGCUCCGACGGCGACGUGGAGGUAUUCCGACUGAUGGCUAAGCACAACGUUGGGUUCUGCCCCACGCUCGCGGCCGACGAAGCGAUGGCGAGGUAUUCCGGGUGGAAGCCCGGCACGGCGGAGCCGGCCCGGCUCCGGAGCAAGCGCGACACGAUGAAAGCGGCGCUCGAAGCGGGCGUGACGAUCGUGAACGGCAGUGACAUCGGCGUCUUCGCCCACGGCGACGGCGCCCGCGAACUGGAACUGCUCGUGGACUACAAGCUAACGCCCGUGGCGGCGCUGCGAUCGGCGACGAGCAUCGCGGCGAAGGCGCUCCACUUAGACGAGCAGAUCGGUGCGGUGAAGGCGGGCCUGUUCGCCGAUCUGAUCGCGGUGGAGGGCGACCCGACGCGAGACAUCAAGGCCCUUCGCAAGGUGCGGCUCGUGAUGAAGGGCGGGACCCUGUACAAGCAACCGUAAAUCGCGAUCGACCCAGUUUCAUCGUGAGGGAGAAUCGAUGUUCGGAACAGCCCACCGGCCUGGUGCCAUCUUCGCUUUGAUAGGCGUGUUGCUCGUCUCGGGACCAACCCCUGCGCAAACGCCACGACCAACGCCCAACCCAGACGAGGAGCGUGCCAACCUCGGUCAGUCGCUCAGCCACACCGAGCAGCUUCUGGCCCGCAAGAUCGACGAGCAGAUGCUUUUCCAGGCGCUCGCCGAGAUCGCCCAGUGCGAGAAGGUUCGCUACACCGGUCCGCCGCCGCGGGUCGCGAAGAACCCCACCGCCCCGGGCGCCAAGAACCCCGUCAUCAUCCCCGCCUACACGUUCUUGCCCAAGAAGCACGCGACCGGCACGAAGAUCCCGCUCAUCGUGUUCGCUCACGGCGGCGUUCACGGCAACGUCGGCAGCAGCUACAUCAACGUCUUUCGCGAGCUGCUUCAACAGGGGUACGCGAUCAUCGCCCCCGACUAUCGCGGUAGUUCCGGGUACGGGCGCGCGUUCUGGGAACUCAUCGACUACUGCGGGUUGGAGAUCGAGGACGUGUUCGCGGGGCGGCAGUUCAUGUUGGAGAACCACGACACGAUCGACCCCGACCGAGUCGGCAUCAUGGGCUGGAGCCACGGUGGGCUCAUCACGCUGAUGAAUCUGUUCCAGCAUCCCAAGGAGUUCAAGGUCGGCUACGCCGGGGUGCCGGUGUCGGAUUUGGUCGCGCGGCUGGGCUACCACGAUCAGGGGUACCGCGACCUGUUCGCGGCGCCGUACCACAUCGGCAAGACGGUCCGCGAGGAUAUCGACGAGUACCGCCGCCGCUCGCCGGUGUGGCACGCCGAGAAACUCCAGACGCCCUUACUCAUCCACACGACGACGAACGACGAGGACGUGCACGUUCUGGAAGUCGAGAGCCUCAUCAAGGCGCUCAAGGCGGCCGACAAGAAGUUUGAGUCCAAGAUUUACCAGGACGCGCCGGGCGGGCACGCGUUCAACCGUCUCGACA
rnacentral:misc_RNA from 1 species